UGUGGAAGUAUAAAUAAUAUUAUAAGGUCUUGAGCAGUUACGAGUGUAGUAGUGACAAUUGACAUAAUAAACAAGACACCGAGAAAAGCGACUGACCAUUACUGGAUAUCGUUAUGUGCCUCACGCAGUUCGACAACCUUCACUACAUGCAAGUGGUGCAUACACCUCAGCGCCCGGAGAGGAGGUGGGAGGUUGUUCCAACAGCGAGAGGCCGCAUACUUAAAAGAUCCUCGAAAUGUGGCCGUUCUAUGCUGUGGUGUCAAAAUGCGGUACCGAGAGGCUCUUGUACGAGUGUUAACCUCACUUGCCCAGGAUAAUUUCUCAUACAAGUAGGAAGGAGUUUGGGUGCUUAUAAUGUCAAAAAGAAGUACGGCAAAAUGCAGUUUUCUACGCGCUUUCAUUUUAAGGAGGUUAGCAUUAUUAAUAUAUGGUGUAACAUGGGCACGAGGAGGAACAGUAAAGCAGAAACGCACACAUGCAUUCUGGACUCUUUGUACAAGUUUCUCUGUCCUGGCUAACAGAUUAUUACCUAUGACAGUGUCUGCAUAGUUCAGCUUCGACAGUACUAAUGUUUCGCAUAGCUUAAUUCUGAGCUCCUCAGACAGGUAAGGCCGGUACUUGUACAGCAUUUUGAGGCGGUAAAAACAGCCCCUAGUAACCUCUAACAUGUGUUGCUCAAAUUUAAGGUGCGAGUCAAAUACCACUCCUAGAUUGCGUGCUGUACUAACCUGCUCAAUCUGCUGUCCAGACACCAUAAUAGUUGGAUGCUUACCCAAGAUGUCUGCCACCUGUUUUUUGGAGCCCAGAACUAUAAACUUUGAUUUCUUUGGAUUUAAGACUAACCCACUUGAGUUCGACCAUUCUGCGACAUGUUGAAGGUCGUCAUUUAGUUUUUUUAAAGCUUCAGGCAUGUCCUUUGGAAAAAAACUGAUGUAGAUUUGGGUGUCAUCUGCAUACAUGUGAUACCUACAAUGAGCUAUGUUUUUGGAUAAGUCGGCACUAAAAAGUAUAAAAAGCAACGGGCCUAGGAUCGAUCCCUGUGGGACUCCUCUUGGAACAUCACAAGAUUCUGAGUACACCUUGCUACCAUUGCUGUCAGUUAUUUCUACCUUUUGUAAUCUAUUAGUCAGGUAGCUGCGGAACCAAUCGAUGACUGAGGGCUCAAAACCAUAGUAAGACAGCUUAGAUAGGAGGAGAGGAAUACUAAUUGUUUCAAACGCCCUGGAGUAGUCAAGCAAUACUAAGAUGGUGCCCAUGCCUUGGUCUUGAGCCGUGAUGACAUUGUCCAGAACGUCCAACAAAGCUGUCACAGUGCUGUGCUUACGUCGAAAACCAGACUGAUACUUCGGUAAAAUUUGGUUAGUCUCAAGGUAGUUAAUGACUUGGUUGUAUACUGCCUUUU